UACGUAGGGGGCAAGCGUUGUCCGGAUUUAUUGGGCGUAAAGAGCGUGUAGGCGGCCAUGCAGGUCCGUUGUGAAAACUCGAGGCUCAACCUCGAGACGCCGAUGGAAACCGCAUGGCUAGAGUCCGGAAGAGGAGAGUGGAAUUCCUGGUGUAGCGGUGAAAUGCGCAGAUAUCAGGAAGAACACCCGUGGCUAAGGCGGCUCCUCUAGUAAGCGGUACUGACGCUGAGCCGCGAAAGCGUGGGGAGCGAUCCGG
rnacentral:rRNA from 1 species